CCCUGGGAGAUGAAGAUCAAGGAAGUGGAAAGUCACUUUGGGUCAUCUGUGGCAUCCUACUUUAUUUUUUUGAGGUGGAUGUAUGGUCUGAAUAUGGUUCUGUUUGCGUUACAGUUUGGCCUGGUGGUGAUACCUGAGAUCCUUAUGGGUCUGCCCAAUGGCUCCAUUCCUAGGAAAACUGUUCCCCGAGAGGAACAGGACACAGCCAUGAACAUCGAUGUACUCU